GAAAUGCGAUAAGUAAUGUGAAUUGCAGAAUUCAGUGAAUCAUCGAAUCUUUGAACGCACAUUGCGCCCGCCAGUAUUCUGGCGGGCAUACCUGUUCGAGCAUCAUUUCAACCAUCAAGCCCCCGGGCUUGUGUUGGGGACCUGCGGCUGCCGCAGGCCCCGAAAACCAGUGGCGGGCUCGCUGUCACACCGGGCGUAGUAGAUUUUUCGUCUCGCCCAGGGCGUGCUGCGGGUUCCGGCCGUUAAAAAGCCUCUCUUUUAACCCAAGGUUGACCUCGGAUCAGGUAGGAAGACCCGCUGAACUUAAGC
rnacentral:misc_RNA from 1 species